rnacentral:lncRNA from 1 species
CGAGCUUAGCGAGCUACGCCGGCCGACCGGCGAGAAGAGCACUGGGGAGCUGACUGCAGACCCCAGGGGCAGACCCUUCCUGCUAGCCGUCCGGGGCGUGGAGCCGGGCCCGAGUCCGGCCAGCGGGCCCCUUCGGGACCCGGUACCCGGGGUCCGCGGAGAAGGGGCGGCUGGGAACAUGACUCCAAGGAGCAGCGACUAGGACAGCGAGGGAUCUGGCCGUCAGGUUGCAGCCUGGCCUGCGCGCGGAACUUAAACACCUAAGGGAAGAGAUGGCGCGCGAUGAUGACGUCAAACGCAAUGGCUCCCGCGGGUUGUGGUCGGAGCGCUGGCGGGGGCGGGAUCGUGACGUUAAGGGCGGUGCCCAGUCAGCGAGGAGCUAGAAUGACUUGUCAGCCACCUUUGAGCAAGAACUUGCCUGGAGUCCAAAUGUAUGGCUAUUGAAGGAUAGUAAGCAGACAGCACUAAAAGUCAUCCAUUCGUUAUGGAUUUAGUCUUAAGACCCUCAUUUGAGAGAUGCCUUCCCUGUACCUGGAGGAAAGAAACAUCUUUAUCUCUGAAGACACAGGGCCACAGAGAAGAGUCUGAACAAACAGGCUUUACCAAUUUCCCCCAGUUGUUACCGUUAGAUCAGACCUUUGUCCAGUCAUAUCCUUCCACAAGUUGUCCACUCAUCAACCCUAAGCAUAAAAAUGCACAAGUUUCCUUGUUUGUUUGGGUCUUCAUUUCC